UCAUUAUUAUCUUGUUAUUGUUAAAACUACUAAAAUUUAUGUUUAUUUCAGAAUAAUAAAAAUGAAUAAACAAGAGAAAAAUCAAUUCUUGAGGGAACGGCACCAAAGUAAUCGAGCCUUAAACAAUGUACUUGUAAAUGAAGAAAUUGACUCACAUCACAUGUCAAAUCUAAUAUUAAUAGAGUCGAGAGUUGAAUUGAUUUCAAAAACAUUGAAAUUAAGAACUAUAGUGACUUUUGUUUUGUCUCUGAUCAUAAAUAUACUUCUGGAACUGAGAGUUCUAAUCUACACUCUGAGGUUCCUGUGAGUGAUAAUAAUGUCUUCUGUGAGUGAUGAUAAUGUCUGUCCGUUAUCUUCAUAACGGAGUACUUGUUAUAGAGAUUGUAAAAUGGAUUUUAAAACACAGAAUAACUAGAAAUGCAAGUGACGAAUUAUUAACCAUUUACACCACUAUAGUUAUAAUGUUGGUUUACCAAAAUGUACAAGGAAAAAUUUAAAUACUCCUAGGAAUAUUCCAAGCAAGUUAAAAUGUGGGGGUAAAUAUGUUUACCUUGGUAUUUCAAAUGACAAAUCAAGAACUUUAGCAAUCAACCAGCAUUAUAGAUUUGAGUCAAAUACAAUUUCUUUAGUUGUUAAUGUAGAUGGCAUUCCUUUAUUAAAGUCAUCAAACACACAGGUUCGGCCUAUAUUAUGUAUGUUUGACAAAGUGACACCAUUUACUGUAGCAUUAUUUGUUAGUGAUAUCAAGCCAAAUAAUUGUGAUGAUUUUUAAUAUGAUUUUUUGCAUGAGUUAAUAUUUGCAAAUGGUUUUUAGUAUUAUAUAUAUAACUUCAAUUAAUUCUUGAGAAAAGGUGUUGCUAAUGUGCCAAUAAUAAGUCAGAAAGUGUAAGCAUAACCAUUUUCAAAAAGAUAGAGUCCCUUGAGGAAUUUUAUGAGCUUGAAACCAGAUUAAAAGACAACGGGGAGAACAGUAAAUUGGUAGUUUAUAUUUAUAAUUUCUAUUUUUAAAAUUUGUCUGUUUAAUAGAAUGCUAUUUAAGUUCAUCGUUUUCUUGAUGAGCCUAUUUAAAUCAUUCUUACAUUUUACCACAAUAUGGUGUAAAAAGUAAAUUCCUUCUUAUAAAUCGAGAAUUAACUUAGUGACCUGAUAACCAUUUACAUUCUGUAGAGUUUUUUACAGUCUUGUAUUUUUGUUAAACUAUUUUGUCUUAUAUUUGGUUUAGCCAUUAUUAUUUUGUUACUUUUAUAGAAUAACUGUGAAUACCAACCAAAUAAAUCUAAUCUUGUCUUAUUCCAAUAUGAAAUUUUCUCUAAACAUUUAUUUAUGUUUUAGCUUGGUCACCUCAUAAAAGCAGGUGGAAAAAUGUUAAAGAAAAUACAAAAAAUGUUAUGGUCAGAAUUAUGGAGCAUCAUGUUAAGCCCAAGUUCAAUAUGAAAAGCAAAACUCGUGGUGAUAUAAAGAAGGUAUCAUUCGAAAAUAAAAAGUUGUGUAAAGCAAUAAUUUUGAAGUCAUCCAGCUAACGCACGAGAGUUCGACGGAAGCAAACAAAAGAUCAAAUAGGAAGCAUUUUAAAGUUCUCUCCAUUAAGCAAUUAUUUAUUUUUGAGUUUUUUUGUAAACUUAUAGUACAAAAGAAUAUAUAAUACAUCUUUAA